rnacentral:misc_RNA from 1 species
GAUGGAUUAUCAUAACAAAGUAUCACACCCUGCGAAUGUUGAAUUUGCAGAGAGGGCAGGUAGCAUUAAUUUGGAGCCAUUUGCUAAUGCAUCCACAAUGGAAGUGGUGGUUACAAGGAAGGGUAUACAGCUCUACACCAUCUACAUAUCUAGACAGGCAGAUGCAACACUUAGAAUCCUCUGGAAGAAGAGCAAGUUCAUUAGCAGAACUUGUGUUGCUUGACCCUAGCCUUUCUUCAAGGAAUUCUCGUUUCUUAUCAUUGUCCAAUGGCCUCAAUUGAUUAUCUCGGCAGUAUCUAUAUUUGGGAAGACUGCUGAUGUCAUCUUCAGACGCCCCUCUCCUAAUUGCAACAGCAUAGGCUAUUGCUAUAAUUGGAAUGCAGCAAAAAACAGCAAAGAAAAUGAUGCAGGCCAUUCCAAUGCAAAAUAUUAUAAAGAACACAUCAAAGGCCAGAAAAACCACUGUUAACCAAUAUAGACGAGGCGAAUCUUGUAAAAGUGUUUGGCCACCUACAACAAUCCAAUAGAAUCCAGUCACCCACCAGAUAGAAGAUAUCAGUGUACUGAUAGACUCCAACCUUUUUUUCAUAAUGCUGCUGUGAGUCUGCAAGUAUGGUAAACCCUCAUUGCUUACACUACCACCAUCACCAUUAUCAUGAUCAGUUCUCAUUCUCUUUUGAUACGGAAAAUACACGAAACCCACAUGCAAAAGACACUGCAAAGAGUAGCCAGACACCCAAACCCUCAAAGGGGUCGAUGGCCUCUCUCUGGAAGCAGAAAAUAGCACCGCCACUGAGACCGCUACAAAGGCCAGGUUCCAUAUGAGGUCAAGCACCAUUAUGGGCUUCGAAUAGUAGAAGUUGUUGCCAUUGCUGUUGCUGUCAAAGCUGGAGCUAGUUUCGUCGUCAAGACCGUCGGAUCGGGGAUCGGCGCAGUCCCCGAGGAAGAUCGUAUGGUGGGGGAGGGAAAGUGCGGUGCUUAUGGUUUGGUGGCGGAGUAGAGAAUAAGCAGCUCCACCAACACCAUGGGUAGCUUGCUGGUCCAUUUUCGUUCAAGCUAAGGGAUUCGUUGGUUAGAGAAGCAUUGGGGUUUUGAACAGAAAGGAAUGAAUUAACCGAUAUGGUAAUGGGUCAAAGGAAAUGAAAAUCCGAAC